GGGGCCGUAGCUCAGAUGGGAGAGCGCCUGUUUUGCAAUCAGGAGGUCAGCGGUUCGAUCCCGCUCGGCUCCACCA
rnacentral:tRNA from 2 species